AGCUGCACAUUGAAGCCCCAGCCUCCACCUUCUUAAACCUCCCCCGCCAUCCCCGUGGAUAUUGUAAAGGCUCAGCCUGGAGUUCAGGUGUUUGGAAUUGGUAGGUGAGUGGGGCUGUUUUGACCGAAAUCUGAUUUCGGCUUCCUUAGGAGAGGCAAGCAAGGCUUGGUUUGCUUUAGGGAAGCAGGCUUUGAAAUGGCUGACCCCCAGAAGACAUUGCUGCCUGGCCACAGGUACAAGGCAUGCGGCAUGUUGGCCACAACCUCUGCUUCUGAGGAUCUUGUGAACUGCCUGUCUGAACUGAAUUGUUUUCCUGACUUGUCUGCAGCCUUGAGGCCAUGUGCAUCCAUCAGCAGCCCUGCUCAGCCCUGCAUCAUGGUGAGUCAGGACCCAGAGAACUCCAGCCAGCUCCCUGAUGGCACACGCUUUCUCAGCUCGCCACCACCAUCACCUGGGCUCCCUCACCACGUGACUUAUUUCAGAUGAAAGAGAGACGGAGGGAAGAACUCGCAGCUCUGAAGCUUCCUCCUUCAGAGGACGUGUAUUGCCAUCAUCCAGCGGGCAUCUCACCUCCCCAAGGUCAGACACUAGUUCUGUGCCCACCACACCCUGGAGUUCUGUUUGAUUUCCUUGUCUGAAAUAGUCUUUUGCUUUGUCAAGUCGGCAUUCAAAUCUUCAAUAAUCUUGACAGGUAGGAUGUAGGCGAGUAGGCAGAUAGGUAUGUGAUGCUUACAUACACAGAUGGAGGGAAUUUUUUUUUUUUUUAAAGAGAGAGGGAGAGGGAGUGGGUGAGAGAGAGGGAGAGAGAGGGAGCGGGUGAGAGAGAGCAUGUGCAUCACUCUGGAAUUUGUGGUGCCUGGCGUGGAACGUGGGUCUCCUGCUAGAGGGCCCGGCACUGUAGCCACUGUGCCACCUCCUGAGCCCCGUGGCUGUGAGGCGUCCGAGCGCAUGGUUUGCACAGACAUUGUGCAGCUCUCAGCUGGGCCUCAUGGGGGAGUGAUUAAGGUUUGCAAAGACCUUCAAAUGAGUGAGCUGGAUAGAUUUCACCUGGGGGAGAAGCCCUGCUGACCAGAGGGGAAGGAGAAAACACCUAAGAGACGCCGGGACGGGACAGACAGGAGACAGUGGCGGAAGAGGAGCGGCGUCUCCACAAAGGACAUCACACCGUCUGGAUGGCAGACGAGGCUGGAGUCAAGCUGCAGAGGACAGAGGACGCCCUGCAGACACUUGCAGUUUCUGCCUGAAAAACAAAGACCUGGAGAGGUUUAAUGGUUUGUAAGUUUCUCUGUGGUUUAAACAACAGGUUUCUAGGGGCCUCCCUCCUCUCCUGGUCUUUACUGAACAAGAGUUCAUGAAAAUAAAACACGUUGACAAAAGUAAA